AAGGAGAUAAACUAAGGAAAAAGUUAUUGGGCUCAUAACCCGAAUAUAGAAUUAUUCUUCCCUUUA
rnacentral:tRNA from 1 species